AUGGCAACACUAGUCACUCCGGCUGCCCGGGCGUCCGAACUGAUGGCGCAGGGACGCAAGUCCGCCGCCGCCCUCGAGGCCCUGCUCCAGGUCCAGGACGACCACGCCGGGAUACGGGAGCUCGCCGCCGAGAUCCUUUGCUGCUGCGACCGCGCCCUCGCCGCCCUCCACGGCAAACCAGGCCGGAAGAAGCGCAAGUUGGGGCCCCAGAGCGCAGCCACUGAGACAACCCAGACCAAAAGAAGGACGCGCGCGAGCAGCAGAGAGACGGCGGCGACGCCGACGAGGGUGGAGACGAAGCAGAACUGGGACGACGGCUUCGUGUGGACCAAGUACGGGCAGAAGCACAUCCGGGGCAGCGACCACCCGAGGCACUACUUCAGGUGCGCCGAUUACACGCUCGACGCCGGCGGCUGCCCGGCCAGGAGGCAGGUCCAGCGGUCGGAGGAGCACGACCCUCCCCUCUACGUCCUCACCUACUUCGCCGACCACACCUGCUGCCACGGUGGCGAGGCGGCGUUCGCCGCCUUGGACGACGUCAAGAUCCUCGACUUUGGGUCCGUGGGCAGCCGCUCGCCACGGCCUGACGACGGUGACGAUCCGAGUGGAAAAACCUCACUCUCGGAGGAGCUCCCAGCCGAGGUGGCCAAAGUCGAGUCAACGCCGUUGCCAGACAUGCGGCCGGCGGGGAAAGUGGCGGAGCUGAGCUCCUCCACCGACGACAUCCAUUGUUCCUCCUCCUGGGAGUCAGCGGCUGUCUGCUCUGACUGGGAUUUCUUUGGCAACUGCUCCUUUGAUUACGUUAGCGAGUUCUUCGAUGUUGAAGACAUUGCUUUGUACCGAUAG
rnacentral:rRNA from 1 species